rnacentral:rRNA from 1 species
UACGGAGGGUGCAAGCGUUAUCCGGAUUCACUGGGUUUAAAGGGUGCGUAGGUGGGUUGGUAAGUCAGUGGUGAAAUCUCCGUGCUUAACUUGGGAACUGCCAUUGAUACUAUCAGUCUUGAAUACCGUGGAGGUCAGCGGAAUAUGUCAUGUAGCGGUGAAAUGCUUAGAUAUGACAUAGAACACCAAUUGCGAAGGCAGCUGGCUACUCGGAUAUUGACACUGAGGCACGAAAGCGUGGGGAUCAAACAGG